AGAUGUGAGGGUGAUCUGGCUGAGACAUCUGUCACCCCAUUGAUCACCUGGGUUGAUUCAGCUGAUUUGGCUGGCUAAGCAGGUGACCUCUCCUCUCUCACCAUGCCAUGUGUGUCCCUCCCAAAGCUGUGUAGUCAGUGGACGAGGAUGACUUUUCCUGAUAAAGAAGUGCCAUUCUUCGGUCAAGGGUAUAUAAGCAGCUAUGUUCUCCUGCUAAAAUCUCCAAACAAGCUUUCAAAUAAUUUUUUUAAAAAUUUAUUUUAAGCUUUCUCAUAUAAAUGACUCCAGGUUAAGGCAUUUAUUU
rnacentral:snRNA from 1 species